AUUGAACGCUGGCGGCAUGCCUUACACAUGCAAGUCGAACGGCAGCACGGGGCAACCUGGUGGCGAGUGGCGAACGGGUGAGUAAUGCAUCGGAACGUGCCAUUGAGUGGGGGAUAACGUAGCGAAAGUUGCGCUAAUACCGCAUAUUCUGUGAGCAGGAAAGCAGGGGGACCGCAAGGCCUUGCGCUCUUUGAGCGGCCGAUGUCAGAUUAGCUAGUUGGUGAGGUAACGGCUUACCAAGGCGACGAUCUGUAGCGGGUCUGAGAGGAUGAUCCGCCACACUGGAACUGAGACACGGUCCAGACUCCUACGGGAGGCUAGCAGUGGGGAAUUUUGGACAAUGGGCGCAAGCCUGAUCCAGCCAUGCCGCGUGAGUGAAGAAGGCC
rnacentral:rRNA from 1 species